GCCCAAUUAGCCCCUACUUGGGUUAUAAGAUUAACACCUAAUCUUAACCCUAAUUAACAUGCUAACUACGAAUUUAAAGACAUUUCCUAAGCUAUUACAAAGUCCGCAAGUCAAGACUUCUUCCGGCGAACUUCCGGCGGUCUUCCGAUAAACUCUCGGAAACCAUUCUACGGACUCCCGGCAAGCUCCUAGACUUCACGAUUUG
rnacentral:lncRNA from 1 species